UAAUACGUAGGGUGCAAGCGUUGUCCGGAAUUAUUGGGCGUAAAGAGCUCGUAGGCGGUUUGUCGCGUCGGCUGUGAAAACUCGGGGCUCAACUCCGAGCCUGCAGUCGAUACGGGCAGACUAGAGUGCGGUAGGGGAGACUGGAAUUCCUGGUGUAGCGGUGAAAUGCGCAGAUAUCAGGAGGAACACCGGUGGCGAAGGCGGGUCUCUGGGCCGUAACUGACGCUGAGGAGCGAAAGCGUGGGGAGCAAACAGG
rnacentral:rRNA from 1 species